AUGGUUCCCUGCUGUUUCUUUCUGGUCAUGCUGGCCUGUACGACAUUGGCUCUGGAACAGACCCCAGACAGAGUGGUACGACAAGGCCAAGAUGUAAAUCUGAGCUGUUCCAAGAAGAAAUCCUCCAGCACAGUUCUGUACUGGUACAGGCUGCCCCUGGGGAAGGAUUCCAGGCUGAUCCUAGUGGCUUAUGCAGUUGCAGGUGCUGAUGCAAAUAUUGAGAAGGAUUUCCAAAGCCAUUUCAAGGCCACGAAGAUACAAGGAGAUGGGAUGACCCUCACAGUACAGUAUGUCUUUCUCAACGACUCUGGCAUGUAUUACUGUGCUGAGAGGCCACAGGAGGGAGGAGGAUUGUACUUCGGCAGUGGGACAAAACUCACAGUCUUAGGGAAGGAUGAUGAUAUCAUACCUCCAGUUGUGGCCAUCUUUUCCCCAUCAAAGCAAGAGAUCCAAGAGAAGAGCAAGGCCACACUGGUAUGCCUGGCCUCUGGUUUCUACCCUGAUCAUCUGAAUCUGGUCUGGAAGGUGAAUGAUGCUAGGAGGACAGAAGGGGUGGGAACAGAUGAAUUUUCCACGCAGAAUGGGAGUACCUUCUCAUUGACCAGCCGACUGAGGAUCUCAGCCCAGGAAUGGUUCAACCCUUUGACCCGUUUUGAGUGUGUUGCCAAUUUUUUUAAGAAUGAAACCCUACAAUCAAUACACAAAUUCAUCUAUGGUGAUGCUGGAUGUGCACUCUCAAAAGAGUCCUACUUGUGGUAUGGAAAUUCUCUGAAGCUCACUUACCUCAUUCUCUGUGGCAAAGCCUUGCUCUAUGCAGUUUUGGUGAGCAGUCUGGCAUGGAAAGCCAAG